rnacentral:rRNA from 1 species
UUAACACAUGCAAGUCGAACGCCCCGCAAGGGGAGUGGCAGACGGGUGAGUAACGCGUGGGAACAUACCCUUUCCUGCGGAAUAGCUCUGGGAAACUGGAAUUAAUACCGCAUACGCCCUACGGGGGAAAGAUUUAUCGGGGAAGGAUUGGCCCGCGUUGGAUUAGCUAGUUGGUGGGGUAAAGGCCUACCAAGGCGACGAUCCAUAGCUGGUCUGAGAGGAUGAUCAGCCACAUUGGGACUGAGACACGGCCCAAACUCCUACGGGAGGCAGCAGUGGGGAAUAUUGGACAAUGGGCGCAAGCCUGAUCCAGCCAUGCCGCGUGAGUGAUGAAGGCCUUAGGGUUGUAAAGCUCUUUCACCGGAGAAGAUAAUGACGGUAUCCGGAGAAGAAGCCCCGGCUAACUUCGUGCCAGCAGCCGCGGUAAUACGAAGGGGGCUAGCGUUGUUCGGAAUUACUGGGCAUAAAGCGCACGUAGGCGGAUAUUUAAGUCAGGGGUGAAAUCCCAGAGCUCAACUCUGGAACUGCCUUUGAUACUGGGUAUCUUGAGUAUGAAAGAGGUAAGUGGAAUUCCNACUGGAGAGGUGAAGUUCGUAGAUGUUCGGAGGAAACCAGUGGCGAAGGAGACUUACUAGUCCAUUGCUGAGGCUUAAGGGCGGGACGGAGGGAGCGGAUGGAUUAGCGCGCUGGGAUGGGGCCGUGAGGGGUAAGGUAGGCCGCGGUAGAUAAGGAGGAGGGGGAUCACAGAUAGACG